GGAUGCGCUUUAUUGUGAUUAAUCAUUUGACAGCACUAACUAUUUUGUGUUACACUGAAGUCAUGCUGUUUUGGGAACGACAUGAGGGUAAGUAAAUUAUGGCAAAAUUUUAAGUUUUGAGUGAAUUUACCCCUUUAAAUAUCAUUUUUUUUAAAUAUAUAUUUUUUAUUUCUUAUUAUGUGCAAGGCACUUUCAGCUUAAAGUCGGCAUUAAAGGGAAGUAGCAAUUGUCUUUUUUUCUCUACUGUGACGUCUAUCCGAGCGUAACGACAUUUGAAAUUGAUUUCGUCCUUCUGGAAUUGAUUGGAUCGUAGGAAGAUGGGGCGAUGCUAACAAAAUGGAGGCAGAUCUGAAUGCCAGUUAGCAGUUAGUUGUCGGGGAUUUCUCUCCACUAGAUGCACAGACGACUAAAUUAUUUUUUUAUUUAUUGAGGACAAUCAAUGGCACAUGAUCACGCGUGACAGAGAGUCUGCCUGAAUGACAGAUCAUGUCUUCCAUCUGGUUAAGUCGUAUUUAUUUAAAAAUAGUUUGUGCUGUCCUAAGAGUAAUGUUGUGGUAAUAUCAACAAGUCCUCCAACUCAUACGACCGUAUGGGUCGUUUGUCACUAUCCUUAAAUACGACCCACACGAGCGUUCUCUAAAUUAGCGCCCCUAUUGGCAACAGGAGAUGUUCGUGGAUUUUGAUGAUAUGGAUUUUAGAUGACUUCGAGACAUGUACAGUUUUGCAGUUUCUUCAUAUCACAUACAUCUCCAGCUCCUACAACAACAUUCAGUGUCCAGCAGCUCUUUAUGAUGCUCUCUCUCUCUCUCUCUCUCUCUCUCUCUCUCUCUCUCUCUCUCUCUCUCUUUCUCUCUCACUCUCUCUCUCUCUCUCUCUCUCAUUUUCCUUUCCUAUUUUUCUGAACUGUAAUUCAUAAAUAAGUCACACAUAUUUUUCUUUCUUUCUCUUGUUCAUCAUGGCAUAUUUUCACAGCUCAGAAUCAGAUUUUGAUCAGUUCUUGUAUUAACAGGGAACUUGUACUCGAAGCUCAACUUGAAGAAGUUUCCAGUGAAGAUGAAGUCCUUCAAAGGUUCGACACAGCUGAAAAGGAAGACCAUGGGCCUGUCAAACCUUGUUUGUGGAGAGGGAUGAAUUUGACCAUCUUGUGUGUUUACGGAGAAGACCAAAAGCUGCUAAGGCAGAUAUUUCCAGAGGUACAAACAGAGCGGAUGGUUGCAUGAUGGCCUCUUUCAGGUUUGUCAACUGAAUGUCUACUAGUGUGGCUCAGCAAGUUCCUGUCAUGAUCAGCCCUCUCCAAGAAAGCUGAAGAGCAAAAACACAAAGAACAUCAGUCCUGUUGGGGAUGAGGAAUGAACAUGGCUCUAUUGUGCCCAAACAGAAAAGAGUGAAAAGUCCUAGAAUGAACAAAUCAUCAGGGCAUCAUUUCUGGAAUUUGGGCAGAAAAUGACUGAAUAUGAAAGACUGCAGUAGAAGGAAAGCUGGUACUGAGAACAUUUGUCUUCACUCAAGACUAAAGAGAAGCGGGUCUGAGGCCAGAGAUGGAGGAGUCAAUGGUCACCAAAUGCAGCGCUGCAGCCUGAAACUGUGAAGACUGAAUUCCCAAACAGCUGUGUGACUGCACAGAUGUUACGGCCAUAAAAGAAACUUCACAACUGAGAGCCCAUACCUCCAACAACCUUCAACAGGAAUCAAUGGACAUCUACGCAAGGUUUUUCUUUUGUUGAGGACCGUCAGAGACUCCAGCCACACGAGCCAUGGAUUGCUCUCAACAUCACCAUCAGACGGACAUUAUCACAGAACCAGCACCAGCAGACUGCAAAACAAGUUCCUUCAACAGGCAAUCAGACUGAACUGAACUCGUACCAGUAACACCACACACACACACACACACACACAUACACACACCAGCAGCCUCAUACUGUGUGCACUGCACUCUAUCAGCUACACUGACUGGACUCUGACUCACUAUUAUUCUGCAACCUGAUAUUCUGUUUGCACUAAUUCAUACUGUACUGAAAGUGAAAGUGACGUGACAUACAGUCAAGCAUGGUGACCCAUACUCAGAAUUUGUGCUCUGCAUUUAACCCAUCCGAAGUGCACACACACAGAGCAGUGAACACACACACACUGUGAACACACACCCGGAGCAGUGGGCAGAGGUAUAUCUACAGUAUACAGUGAUUGUUGUUAAUUGUUUUCAUUUUGUUCUCUCUGUAUAGUAUAGUAUUGCACUAUAUUUUCUACCUGUAUUGAGCUCUUUUUUUGAUACUGUAUAUGUGUUGCAAAUAUAUUCAGUACUUGUCAUGCUGCAGUUUGCAGAAAAGCAUUUUACCACCUGUAUACUUGCAUUCAUGGUAUUGUGAUAAUAAAAUGAUUUGAUUUGAAUUGGUCACAUGACUUGUUCAUCAGUUGUAUUGUUGUGCUGGAUAACAAUUGCAAAUUGUUUAUGACAUUGAAGAAGAUCAUGAUAGAGACAUGGAUUUGAAGAAAACCAGGAGAGCUCUGAUGAUGAGAAGGAAACUGGAUGUGAUUCUUUGGUGCUCAAGACAUUUCACCAUGCCUUCAUCUGGGUUUCUUCAUCUGAUUAAAAUAAAAUGGUUUUAAUGUAACCCAUUUUUAUUUCACUUGAAUAUAAUUUGUCUUAAUAUGCUUCUUUAUCUGUCUUUAUGCUGCAUCCUAGUAAAAUAUUGCGUAUGGUGUUGGAUAAUCAAGUAUGGUGAAUAUUCUGUACUAGAGAUGGUUUUUUGGUAGAUACACCAUUUAAUUUUGUAAACAACACAUAUAAUCACCAUGGUUGUUUUGAUGAAGACAUGAACAUUUAGUAAUAUUAAUGAAAUUCAGUUAGAUGAAGAGCUGCAUUAGAAGAGACUGCAUGGACUUCAUGCACAACUGAAGGUGAUGAAUCAAGGAAAGAUCAACAUGAAUCCUGUUCUGUAUUAUAAUGAAGAUGUUCAUGCACAUUACUGAUGUCUAGCUCCUGAGCAGGACAAAGAUGAGACAUUCUUUACAGAGAUUUAUGAAUUAGGUAUUUUAUAUUAUGAUUCUUUAAAUUGCAUGAAUUGUAUGGAACCAUAAACUGCACACUGUCACACAUUGUCUUACUGAAUGACACAUUGGCCUUGUCUGAUGAAAUGUCAGAAUAUGUAUUUGUUGUCUUUGUUUACUAUUAGCACUGUAUUAUUGCUCUUGAUCUUAUGAAAUAAAUUGAGCUCUUUCCAAAUGGGCACUUAUGUUGA